AGCGCAGGCGGUUUCUUAAGUCUGAUGUGAAAGCCUUCGGCUUAACCGGAGAAGAGCAUCGGAAACUGGGAGACUUGAGUGCAGAAAAGGACAGUGGAACUCCAUGUGUAGCGGUGAAAUGCGUAGAUAUAUGGAAGAACACCAGUGGCGAAGGCGGCUGUCUGGUCUGCAACUGACGCUGAGGCUCAAAGCAUGGGUAGCGAACA
rnacentral:rRNA from 1 species